CAGACAUCAACAAAGGACGGUCCUAUAAAAUGAUCAAUUACAUGUGUGGAGAUACAGUGGCUUCUGCGUGAUUCAGGGCUACAAGAGAAAACCUGAGAUGUCAUGCAAUAAAACCCCUAGGGACCAGAAGAAAUGUUCUGCAGAAUUCCAAUACAUUCCUGACUUGUGCCUUGUAGGUUGUGGAAAGGCAUUAAGAAGAUAGA